CCUUAGCCCUGAUAGUAGCGGCAUCCUUUUCAAAACGGACAUUGAGGCUCUCGAAAUGUCCGUUUUGAAAAGAUAUAGCGGAUAGCAGGAAACAGC
rnacentral:sRNA from 1 species